GAAAAAUUUCCCAAGGCGGAGCGAAAACCUUUCCUGAGCGACUGAGCAUGCCCGGUGGUGAAAGUAUAUUCCAUGCUUGGGGUGAAGACUUCUCUCUCUUGCUGGCCAUGAAAAAGAAAGCACAAAGCUUCAGGACUGUUGGCUGCCAUCUUGGAACUAUGAGGGGAACCAGCCUUAGAAUGAACCCAGAUACUGAGGACAGUAGCACACAGGAAUGGAAACAGCUUGCAUCUGUGAUGCCAUCUUUGAGCUGAUAACUGUACUGCACCUGGAUCCCCAUUCAGUCUCUGGGUUUACAGUUACAGGAGGGUAUGUGGUUUAAACUCUCCAUGGGCUGACAAAAUCAGCUUUCUGACUCUGCAAAGCUAAGAAGACUCUGCUCCUGGAAGGCCUCUCCACUGACAGACUGAUUUCUGAGUGAACGAACUCCCUUAGGUAACCUGAGCCAGAUAUAUUUACCCUGAACCAGGUGUGGUUUUCCCGAACGAAGAGUAGGCAACCGACAAAUGGUCAGAGAAAGCAGCCUCGGAGCCCGCCAUCCUGCAUAGCUGAGGGUCUCCUUUUUCUACACAAAUCUCUUGGUGGAAUGCUCAUAGAUAUAAAAUCAGUGCCAGCAAACCCUCCUGGUUUCUCCUGUGCCUCCAGGAAUGUGAUUGGUCUACAGAACAGAGUUGAGAACAGAUGUUGUUUGAUCACGGUCUGCUCCAGUGGGUCUACAUGACAUGGAACAUGUGACUGCCACUCCCCGAGCCUCCUGACUCACUUGGUCCAAGAGGGGACUUGCCCUGAGGGUUGGGGCGAUGUGCCCGAAGUCCUGCAACUACAAAGUGGCAGGGCUGGGAUUCACACCCAGACUCCAGGCUCCAGCAUUGCCCUUCCAGCUGUAUCCCAGCCUCUGCUUUCCCCACGGCGCUUAGCCUGGUGCCUGGCGUGGAUGAGGAGCCCCGAGGAGCUUCCUGAAUGAAGCUGAGGCUGUACAUGAGGGAGAGAAGCGUGACUUCCUCUCCUUGUCUGCCGGGGGUUUUGCUGGGUGACUGUAGGAAUCGCUCGCCUGGCUUUCAUCAUCUACAAUUGGGGGUAUUCACCUCUGGAAGUCAUUCCGUCACUUGUGUUCUCAAGUCAGUCCAGAGGUAGCUUGCUGGGGCCUUGCAGCUUUGCUCCGAAUUUUCCAUACAAAUAAGCACGUAAGUGGAGAAGCCCCUGAUUCCAGCCAAACCCCAGAUUGCUGCUCUCUUUCCCAAAGGAAAGAAAGGAAAUGUGUCUCGUGCUGCAGCUGGGCUGCCCGAGCGAGUCAAGAGCUGGGAGGCACUGAUCGCUUUGGGACCGGCAUCUUCCUUGAUUUCAUCUUUUCAUUUUUCUGCUGGGCUUGAGGAGACCCGGGUCUUAUUAUUAUCAUGCGCCUCAGCAGAGAUCUCGUCCUUCCCACCUUCUCCACUUACGGUAGGCCCAGCGAAUUCAGUUCAGCCCCAGAGGCACCGAUUGUGUGACCAUCACGCCCGAGCCCUGAGUGGGGCAGAAGGAACACAGAGAUGAGUGAGGGGCGCCUUCUCCAGGGAGGACACACUCUGGCCGGUGACCAGCCGGGGAGGGGCUGGCACAAGCAGAAGUGUCUGUCUUCCCGUGCGGCUGGGGAACUCACAGUGGGGGACCUGUGUCAGGUGCUUCCCUGUGUUACCUGCAUCCUUGCUGUUCCCCCCGCUGCACAGACAGGAAUCCAGGCUCGGAGGCAGCGGCCAGAGCACGGGAGGUGGCAGGUUCCUGAGGACCUGGCUUCCAGCCCGGUCCCGCCACUCCCUAUGCCUGUGACCUUGGGCGCUUUCCCCAGCUUCUCUGAGCCUCAGCUUGGUCACCUGUAAAUGCAGAGGUACAGGGCCACGGGGCUCAGUGAGAACGCAAGGUUGGAAGGUUCAGUGCAGUAUCCUCAGCGCUCCUGGAGAUCAGACAGCUCCUUGGGGGCGAGCUCAGGUGCUGCCUCCCCUCCGGCUGUCUGCUCCGUUCAAGAAGAGCUGGGCUCCGUCACCCCAGAGGAAAUGCCUGCGUGGAUCCCGUAGGAAUGGGUUUAGUGGCCUUGUUCUUCAUUAUUAGCCUCCCCAGAGGGACGUGUGCCUUGCCUGCCUGGCCGGUGUGGAACUGAUGGAUGAGAGGGGAGGGCAGAGCGGCCCGAUGGGUCUUCCCUGCAGGAAGGAGCCUGGCCCUGAGGACAGCCACCCACGCAGCUCUGGCUGCACAGCCUUCCAAGCUCCGACCCAGACCUCCACUCCUUUUGCCCCCCUUGGGAGGAGGUGGCUGGAAAGCUCAUUUGCCGGGACUGCAAGACGCUGUGUGGCCCUGGGUUUGGUGAAGGUGGCAAGGGGCCUACGUGGGGUAUAUCUAUUGAUUCCAGUGGCUUUCAUGUCCUUCCUUGUUUCUCUCAUUUUAUUUUGUUCCAGCAGCGGCUUUCUUUUUGCUGCCUCUGGGAAGACCCUUGGGAGAGGCUGGCUCGGGGUCUUCCUCGCAAAUGCACGUCUGGCUCAGGGCUGCUUUGAUGGCUAGAGGGCAAUUCGCCUUGGAAAUCGGCUGCAGUGUUGGCAAUUCCGCGGGACAUCCAUUACAUUCCUCCCGGAGAGAGCUUUUCCGGGGGGGCCUCGCAAUGGAGUGUUGCUGCUCACGAGGGGGUGGGGAAGCAGAAGUAACCUAAAAGGAAAGGCAUCUAUUUUAAUGUUCUCGCAGAGCUGCGUCUCCUGCAUAUGGGUCCAGCCCACUCUUGUGAAGCGGCUCCUUUUGGAAAACAGGGGACUUGCAAACGGCUUGUUAAAGCUAAGGAAAUGAAGAGGAGAGGAAACAGAAGCGUGUGUAAGCAGAACCCAGCGCCUUCAGCUGGAUUGGCAGGCCCCCGAAUCCAAAAACCCUUGGUUUUCAUUGGAGCCCAGAGAGACCUCACUUAUCCUCAUGGGAUGGAAAGUGCCAGGUAGCCGGGAAGAAGGGGGCACCGUCACCCCCGCUGCCCUCUCUGAGUUGACAGCUUUGCUAGGGAGACAUACACAAAAAAGCCCUCUUGAUAUAAGAGAGCAAGUAUGCCUAAUAAUAACAGCUAACAUGCUUGCUGUAUGUCGGUGCUUUAAAAGCAUUAAGUAAUUUAAGUUCACCAAAACCUUGCGAUGCAGAUAUUAUGAUUAUCAUCUCCAUUUUACAGAUGAGAAAACGGAGGCACAGGGCAGUGAAGUAACUUGUCCAAGGUCAUCUCUAGUAAGCAGAGGAGCUGGAAUCGAAUCCAUGCUCUCUAGAACCCAUGCUUAUGUUCCUGACUACUGCUUGUUUCUGUCUCUUGCUCACCUUGGGAAAUCCGGGCAACUCCGAGAGCUUUAAGUGGUGCAUUUGCUGGCUCUUAAAUCCCAGAUCCCUGUUUGGUCGGCUUGUUGUACUUUUCU